CCAGCGUGCUCACUGCAAGCCUGCAGAGGUGUGGACCAAGACCAGACUAGUGUUUCUCUAUAAAAAUAGUGCAGACUGGGCAGGGGGUUUUCAGAAUGAAAUAGACAUUCCUGCACCCAGGAGACUUCCUUCCAUAGCUGGUUGGUGCUCCUCAUACUUAGGAGACGGAGUCUCCGUGUGCCAGACGGGAAGUCGGGAGAAGGAGCCGGCGCCUGCAGGUGUAACUCCUGGAGACCUCCUCAGACGGCAGACCCCUGCGAACCAGACAGACGGACCAUGGCCCAGGCUUCACACGAGGCUCAGGCUCCCCCACAAAGGCCUUACUGACACUGGAGGCGGCUGCUGGUCCUUCUACGCUAGGAUAUUUUUAGGCUUCAGCUCCCUGUGGGCGAUGCCCUUGGCAUGACAGCACUGCGCGCUGACACCAGUCGCCAGAACCUUUGGCACCCCCCCCCACCUGUCCUCCAGAUAGUUAGCACCCACCCAGUCCCCCAGCUCCACCACCAGCAGGAGCUCUCUGUGUUCCCAUGGCCUCACGUAGAACCACAGUGUGUGGGGGCCCCGGCCAGGUAACCCCACCACCUUGCACAGGGGCUGGAGACUCAGGAAGUGCUGAUUCUUGAUCACCUUCUGGGCAACCUCUUGGCCGCUGCCGAGAUGCCUCACCAGCAUGACCUUGGUGCAACCCCUGCCCCAGUGGUCUUCCCCAAAUCACACUUGGGGAGACUGCCCUCUUCGGGAAGAUGUGGUCGAAGGCUGACGGUCGAAAGGCCGUGUCUUUCCUCUGCAACUGAUUGCCAGCUCUUAGCUUCGGGUAACCCCUGCAGACCCAGAAAAAGCCCCGUGCUUGCCGCCUGGGCCUGGCGCUGCUGCAUCCUGACACCAUGCAGUGCUGUUGGCUGUGACAGCAAAACCCUUUCUUCUGGCUCAUUGGCUUUUGACAGGUGUUGAUAUUUUUGAGUUUUUCUGAGUUUGUGUGAGUUUUGAACGUAGCUUGUACUUGUUCUGUGGCCUGAGCUGCAUAGUCAGGAAAUUUGCAUGUCACCACACUAAGACUAAGAGUGUGGCUUGGUGCACCAGGCUCAGCGCCCUAAUGCCAGAAAGUCAAUAUUCAAGAGAAAGACUUCCCGAGAGAAAACAGGCUUACUUCGGUGCUAGCAACCAAGCAAGCGGCAGACCUGUUUUAAAAGCAUCUCACCCUCAGGCUGGGGUUUGAGGGUCUUACAGGGGCAGAAAUGGAGGGGGGCAGGUGCUGGUGAGGGGUGGGUGCCAGCCGUCUCUCUGGCUUUGGUGGUCGUUGUGCUCAGCCUGCCUGCUAAGUUGUUAGAGACCAUUUGGGAAGACACUGCACAAGGUUUGCAUCUGGAAGUGUCUCUGCUGGGCCAGAGGCUGCCUCAAGCAGUUCUUGUCUGAUCUUUGCACCACUGACUUGACUGUGGGCUUGCCGGGCACACUCUAGCGGUCAGGGCACAGUGAAUGUGUCCUGAAGGCUGGCUGAAGGACAUGGCUAGUGGAGGCUGGCCAAGUGAAAAAAAAAUGGAGUCGCUCCUGCUCUGUUAAACGAGGGGGGGGGUCACGUCUUUUCCCAUGCGGUGGGGGAGGCAGCCUUGCAGAGAGAGCUCUUCCUCUGUGUGAAUGUCCGGAGCCCCUUGCAUGUGAUCACUCUCACCGAAGACAUGUUUAGGAGGCAGAGAUGUUUGGUCUCUAACAUCAUCCAGUCUCCUGGCAACUCUCCCAAUAGCUGCUCCUUGCAGUCCCCAGCUCCUAGCUCCUAAUUGAGCACCUACUAUGUGUCAGGCCCAGGGGAAGCCGUGGAGAAUGGAAGGCACUCCUGUCUCAUGACUAUUGCUGUAUAGGAGACAGUCCUGAUGCAGUGGGAGGGAGGGGCUUGGGAAAGGGGCAGGUGCCACAGGUGCUGUGGGAGGCGUGGCGGGAGGCAGAGUGUGGCUAAAGGUGGUUCUGUGGGUAGAGUGCAGGCCUUGCAUGGCGGAGGGCCUGGGUCUGACUCAGUGCUCCGGUCUCUCAACACACAAAUGUUAGCAGGUCUGAAGUUGGACAGCAUUGAUGUGCUAGGCUGUCCCAAUGAAUCGCAGAAACCUGG